rnacentral:lncRNA from 1 species
CCAACAAUUCUUUCGAACAGCAAUGAUCACAUAUAAACUUUCUUAAUAACUAUUAGGUCAUUCAAAUUUCCAAUAGUCACAACACAGAAAGAAAUGGAAUAUAAGCUUACAAUGCGUCCCCAAACUAUGUAGGGAAAUCCACCAAUGGUGCAGAGGAGAAUGGCUAGACCCAAAGGGUGGAAGAACACACACAUAAGUCUGAGAAUGACAUCAAAUUGUCACUUAAUUUGUACACCCUACGGAUCGAUGUCACGAUGUGAUCGUCAUCAAUUAUAGUAGAGCUCGAGGCCCAAGCCGUCGUGGAUGUCGCAGUCGUGAAGAGUGAGUGAUGUGGUCUCUCCACUUGUGGAUCCUGGAUCUUGUCGGGUUGGUCCCGUGUGUGCCAGCUUCUUCUUCAGGGUCUCCGGAUCGUAUCAGAGAAUCACGCGUUUGUCAGAAUUAUCCAACGAAGGCCUACUCGCAAAGGAGGUAGUCAGUGUCGUCGUAGUACUGAGUUCCCAUCACAGCCACCAAGUAUCCGAAUUCGACAUUUUGGCCAGCCAAAUUUAGCACACCAAACUUGGAUCUUUUCGCAGUUUCAUGCCGAGUAAAGGCCCUCCUCCAAUUUCACUCUACUGCAGCUGGCUGAUGCAGGCAGAAAUGUUGAAAAAUGUUGAUGCAAUUUAAUCACAUUGGCACUGUUGAUGCUGCUCCAGUAGUACUGACACCAUCCUGAAUAUUGCAGGUUGAAAAGCAUGAGCUGGAUCGACUCUGAAUGAAUGAAUGAAAGGAAGUUAAUAGUUAAUGGUGAAAGCCCAAUAAUGCCCUCACCCUGUAUUCACCAUUGGAUCUCCAUUGGAUUUUUUGGUUUGAAGUGUUUACUUGUGUUGUGCAAUUAAAACUGGUCAAAAGACAGGUUGGAUGAGAGGAAACAACUAAAAAUGAAUAACAAUCAGUUCUCAUUCGUUCAUUUCCACUUCUUCUAACGCACUCAACCUUAAAGAAAAC